rnacentral:rRNA from 1 species
UACGAAGGGGGCUAACGUUGCUCGGAAUCACUGGGCGUAAAGGGUGCGUAGGCGGGUUUUUAAGUCAGAGGUGAAAUCCUGGAGCUCAACUCCAGAACUGCCUUUGAUACUGAAAGUCUUGAGUAUGGGAGAGGUGAGUGGAACUGCGAGUGUAGAGGUGAAAUUCGUAGAUAUUCGCAAGAACACCAGUGGCGAAGGCGGCUCACUGGCCCGAUACUGACGCUGAGGCACGAAAGCGUGGGGAGCAAACAGG